GCAGACACAUUCCAGCCAAUCAGCAGCAGACCCUCCCUCCCAGACCCUCCCAACUCCUGGACAGCUCACUAAGAAUGCAGCUUCACAAUGAAUGUAAAAUGGAUGCUGUCCAGGAGGUGGGAGGGUCUGGGAGGGAGGGUCUGCUGCUGAUUGGCUGGAAUGUGUCUG